AGUGGGGAAUAUUGCACAAUGGGCGCAAGCCUGAUGCAGCCAUGCCGCGUGUGUGAAGAAGGCCUUAGGGUUGUAAAGCACUUUCAGUCGUGAGGAAAGGUGUGUGCUUAAUACGUACAUACUGUGACGUUAGCGACAGAAGAAGGACCGGCUAACUCCGUGCCAGCAGCCGCGGUAAUACGGAGGGUCCGAGCGUUAAUCGGAAUUACUGGGCGUAAAGCGCGCGUAGGUGGAUUGGUCAGUCAGAUGUGAAAGCCCAGGGCUCAACCUUGGAACUGCAUCUGAUACUGCUAGUCUAGAAUACAGUAGAGGGUAGUGGAAUUUCCUGUGUAGCGGUGAAAUGCGUAGAUAUAGGAAGGAACACCAGUGGCGAAGGCGACUACCUGGACUGAUAUUGACACUGAGGUGCGAAAGCGUGGGGAGCAAACAGGAUUAGAUACCCUGGUAGUCCACGCCGUAAACGAUGUCUACUAGCCGUUGGAAGACUUGAUCUUUUAGUGGCGAAGCUAACGCGAUAAGUAGACCGCCUGGGGAGUACGGCCGCAAGGUUAAAACUCAAAUGAAUUGACGGGGGCCCGCACAAGCGGUGGAGCAUGUGGUUUAAUUCGACGCAACGCGAAGAACCUUACCAACUCUUGACAUCCAGAGAAGAGGCUAGAGAUAGCUUUGUGCCUUCGGGAGCUCUGAGACAGGUGCUGCAUGGCUGUCGUCAGUUCGUGUUGUGAAAUGUUGGGUUAAGUCCCGUAACGAGCGCAACCCUUGUCCUUAUUUGCCAGCACGUAAUGGUGGGAACUCUAAGGAGACUGCCGGUGACAAACCGGAGGAAGGUGGGGACGACGUCAAGUCAUCAUGGCCCUUACGAGUUGGGCUACACACGUGCUACAAUGGCCGGUACAGAGGGCUGCAAACCUGCGAAGGUAAGCUAAUCUCACAAAACCGGUCGUAGUCCGGAUUGGAGUCUGCAACUCGACUCCAUGAAGUCGGAAUCGCUAGUAAUCGUGGAUCAGAAUGCCACGGUGAAUACGU
rnacentral:rRNA from 1 species